UAAACUAGGAUUAGAUACCCUAUUAUUUUAAAUGUAAAUUAUUUAUUACUAAAUUAGUAUCAGUUAUUUUCUUGAAAAUUAAAAAAUUUGGCGGUAUUUUAGUCUUUUCAGAGGAACCUGUCCUGUAAUUGAUAAUCCACGAUUAAAAAUACUUUAUUUUUUAAUUUAUAUAUCGUUGUAGUUUAAAUAUUUUAUUAGAAAUUGAAUAUUUAUAAUUUUGAAUUAAAAAGUAAAUCAGAUCAAGGUGUAGUUUAUAAUAAAGUAGAGAUGGGUUACAAUAAAUUAAUUUAAGGAUAAUUUUUUUUAAAGGGAUUUGAAUUUGGAUUUGAUAGUAAUUUUAUAUAAUUUAUAUAAGAUGAUUUAAGCUCUAAAAUAUGCACACAUCGCCCGUCGCUCUUAA
rnacentral:rRNA from 1 species